UACGGGGGGAGCAAGCGUUGUUCGGAUUUACUGGGCGUAAAGGGCGCGUAGGCGGCCAGCGCAAGUCAGUUGUGAAAUCUCCGGGCUUAACUCGGAAAGGUCAACUGAUACUGCGCGGCUAGAGUGCAGAAGGGGCAACUGGAAUUCUCGGUGUAGCGGUGAAAUGCGUAGAUAUCGAGAGGAACACCUGCGGCGAAGGCGGGUUGCUGGGCUGACACUGACGCUGAGGUGCGAAAGCGUGGGGAGCAAACAGG
rnacentral:rRNA from 1 species